UUCUAGCCCCGAUUGAAGGGAAAAUCCUUUUUUUUUCGUGGCUGGAAAAGCGCUGGCAAAAAAAAGAUUGGAAUGAAAAGCGGGUUCGAGU
rnacentral:sRNA from 2 species